GAUGAACGCUGGCGGCGUGCUUAACACAUGCAGGUCGAACGAAGCACUUUAUUUGAUUUCCUUCGGGACUGAUUAUUUUGUGACUGAGUGGCGGACGGGUGAGUAACGCGUGGGUAACCUGCCUUGUACAGGGGGAUAACAGUUGGAAACGGCUGCUAAUACCGCAUAAGCGCACGGCAUCGCAUGAUGCAGUGUGAAAAACUCCGGUGGUAUAAGAUGGACCCGCGUUGGAUUAGCUAGUUGGUGAGGUAACGGCCCACCAAGGCGACGAUCCAUAGCCGACCUGGUAGGGUGACCGGCCACAUUUGGACUGCGACACGGCCCCCACUCCUACGCGAGGCAGCAGUGGGGAAUAUUGCACAAUGGGCGAAAGCCUGAUGCAGCGACGCCGCGUGAGCGAAGAAGUAUUUCGGUAUGUAAAGCUCUAUCAGCAGGGAAGAUAAUGACGGUACCUGACUAAGAAGCACCGGCUAACUACGUG
rnacentral:rRNA from 1 species